AUCUCAAAUUUCCCUCCCUCCCUCCCUCUGUGUUUUGACCAUUCGAAGCGUGCGUAAAGGCUGAAGUUUGAGAUUUUGAAAAUGGGUUGAUAGUCUCGGCGACAAUAAGUUUCACUCCAUCCAUGGCAGCAGAACGAUGGCUGAGCAUGUUUGAUUUGUAAGUGGAGAACGAGAAUGACGUGAUGACGGAGACUCUGAGAAUAUCAUCGUCAGAAUCUUACUACUUAAUCCUGGGCUAGCAUGGGAUGCAUCAAUCUUUGAUAAGCCGCUCCUCAUGCAGGAUUUUGUUUUUUAGCAUGGAGGUCAUGCUUCUUGGUUUUGUGCUUCCAGGACGUUCUUUGGAAGAAAGGGCUAGAAUUCAAACAUCUAGUUGAUAUGAAUGAACUUCUUAGGAAGAGGGCUGUCGUAGAGAAUUAGCUUCUUGCACUGGUUCCCUUCGAACAUCAAUUAGCCAGCAUAUGUUUAAGGAAGAGGAGCAGGUCUUCCCCUUGGUUAUUGAGAACAUUUCAUUUAAAGAGUAGGCAUCAUUGGUGUGGCAAUUUCUUUGCAGCUUACAAGUCAAAAUUAUGGCUGAAUUUCUUCCUUGACUUGCCUUGUAUGUAUCAUCUGAUGAACAUCAAGAUAUGCUCAAGUGAUUGUGCUCUAUAAUUCCUGAAGAGAAGCUUCUUCAACAUGACUUAACUCAUCGGAUUCGAGUUGGAGAAAACAUACAGAGGUUUAGGAUUGUUGGAGUAAUCCUUUAUAUGGCUCUCUUUUGCUACUUACAUGUGUAUUUAUUAAUGUAAUUGUCAACUAGGAUUAAUUGACAUGAUUUGUGCACUACUUGCAUGAUUUUGUUUAUAAUUAGUGUAUUUUGUGCCAUGAGUUAGUGAGUUUUUAUUGUGAACCUGUAGAUAGGGCCAAAAUAUUUGUGCAAGUAGAAACAUAUGUAAUUUGAGAAAUUUGGAAUGAAAUUGUUGAU